GGGGAAUGGGGGCACUUCCUGUUUUACUCCACGGAGACUUGAGACCAGACGCUGUUGUCAGUUUCAACAAAAUGGCUGCUGGAGCGCCACAGACGAAAACCCAGUGAACGCUUCACAUCAGUGCAGUGUCACUUUAAAUGGAUGCAUUGGAAUUUCCCUACCUUCUGAGCGUCGGGACAUUUACUCGCGUGGACUCGUGUACAUACGUAUUAACGAACUAAAGGCAUGCUGAAAUAUUCCCUUUACGCACUUUAUAUAUAUAUCUAUCCAAAAGCAUACAAAAGCUCAAACUGCCAGUGCGCGCGCGUCUGUGUGGGUGUGCGCGUGUGUAGCUGCUCCUAAGGAUCGCCGAGAUGUUACAGCUGAUCAACCUGACGUGCAAAACUGUGGUUUAAUGUCCCUCUCACUGUUUGCACUGGAGCUUUAGAGUUUUUUUCCCUUCUCUCUGGAUAAAUUCCGCUGCAGAUUGAGAGGUGAAUUCCUCAACUGGAAAGUCGGGCUCGCCAUUGCAGCUCAGACUGCGACUGAAUAACAUCUGACCUGUGUCAGGACGGGUAUCGACAACAUCCUCCUCCACCGUGCAGCUCGUGCAUCGCAUUCGAACAGCAGACCGCAGCUGCUCCGUGUGCGAAAUAAAGCCUUGGCACAAAACACGUCACACAAGAGGAGAACCAUUUGAUGGAAGAAAAGAAAAAGAAAAAGCAAGAGGAAAAGAAAAAGAAGGAAGCUGCUCAGAAAAAGGCUGCUGAACAGAAAACCAAAGUAGAUCUGCUGCUUAACAAUGAUGUAACCAAGACAUUAUCCAAAUUAAAAGAGAAGGGAGAGUGACAGCACUGGAAGAGAAACAGCGAGAGCAAGAGAGGAAAGUAUGUGCUGAGCUGACGUAUUUGGUUGAGGACUCCUCGCCCCAUUGGACAGGUUACGCCCCCUUCAUUGAGCAGGGUGAGGUAUGAGGCAGUCAAUUUUAGACACCAGAAAGGGCUUUUUGAGGGCUGUCGUGGGGCAGAUGGGAGAGGGGCUUAUGUCAUGUUAGGGAUAGACAGUCAUAAAUCUCAUUAGAGCAUCUGCUAAUGCUGGAACUCUCAAACAUCAGACUUGACGCAGGAAGAAGUGCUGAUUUAAUGCUCACAGGGACCUUCUAUUGCAAAAUACUCUGGACAACUGAGUCGUCUUUGUGCUUCUUUCACACUUUCAUCCUCCGAAUCUCUGUAUCACCACAUGAGUCAAUGCUGAGAAUCUCUCUUUUCUUUAAUCGGGGUGCACUAGGGGCAUUCGCAGAGUUCUGCUAAUUAGAUGUAAUCUGGUUUUGCUUUGUUU
ensembl:lncRNA